rnacentral:rRNA from 1 species
CCGACGGUGAGAGGCGAAAGCUGGGGGAGCAAACCGGAUUAGAUACCCGGGUAGUCCCAGCCGUAAACGAUGUGCGUUAGGUGUAUCGGUGACCACGAGUCACCGAGGUGCCGAAGAGAAAUCGUGAAACGUACCGCCUGGGAAGUACGGUCGCAAGGCUGAAACUUAAAGGAAUUGGCGGGGGAGCACCACAACAGGUGGAGCCUGCGGUUUAAUCGGACUCAACGCCGGAAAACUCACCAGAUAAGACAGCUGAAUGAUAGUCGGGCUGAAGACUCUACUUGACUAGCUGAGAGGAGGUGCAUGGCCGUCGUCAGUUCGUACUGUGAAGCAUCCUGUUAAGUCAGGCAGCGAGCGAGACCCACGCCAACAGUUGCU